rnacentral:lncRNA from 1 species
CCAUUUUGAUAAGACUUCACGAACUACGCACACCUGAUUCUCCUCUUUCGGGGGUGAGAUACGUAGGCGCCCCUCUUGGGUUCAGUGACCUUUUCAAAAAAAAAAUAAAAAAAAAGGUUUUGAAAAAAAUAAUGUUGAAUUCUAACGCAUUUGUUUUAUCUCUUGUUCAGUUAGUUUAAGGUGGUUGGUUUAUGGCAUUUUGGCUGAUCCUCCAUAUUGCACCAAGUCACAGAGAAAGUUAUGGCUAACAAGGAUAUCGAGUUUGUUAUCACUGAUCAGAUAGGGAGUUCAGGCAAUGAGAAUUUAGGAGCUAAUGAAGAGAUUCAAAAAUUAAGGCAACAAAUGAUAGAAAUGCAUCGAGCUUGGGCUAAUGCGUUGCCACCUCCUCCAUUUCCCGUUGAUAAUCUGGAAUAUCUUUCUAGCUUUCCUUCAGUGUCACAUACACAGUUUCCUAUUUUUGUUGACAAACCACAACAUGCAUCAGGACCUGCUCCGGGGCAACACUAUCCAAACACUUCCAAUAUUCAUUUCCUCACUCCUCAACACAAAGCUACCAUAUGCUCGGCUCCACCUACUGUUCAUGUUUUUGCAGCACCACCCCCACUCGAAGCUCCUACUUUUGAGGUUUAUCCACAAGUUGUGCCUCCCCACUCUGUGAGAGAGCCUAUAUUGAAUAUUUCUGCUGAUCAAUAUUAUGCUAUUGAGCCCACAUUUAAGUCAACUAAUUCUUAUGGCUAUACUCACCCGCCUGAAUUUUCUCUUAACACUGAGAAGCCUGUUAUAACAGAAGAACAAAAGAAAAUGACCAGAAAAUUGAGAAGUUUGGAAUUGGCUAUGAAAGACCUCCAGGGACUUGGGGGUACAAAAGUGUCUCAUAUUAAGAUCUGUGCAUGUUUCCAGGGUUUCAUCUUCCGUUUGGUUUUAAAAUGCCCAAGUUUGAGAAGUAUGAUGGACAUAGCGAUCCUGUAGCACAUUUGAGACGUUAUUGCAACCACCUAGGGGGUACAGGGGGAAGGAAGAAUUACUCGUGGUAUAUUUCGAUGAGAGUCUUUCAGGCCUAGCUUCAGAAUGGUUUGUUGACCAAGACAUCGACAAGAGGAUUAGUUAGGAUGACUAGCUAAUGAAUUUGUGCAACAAUUCCAAUACAAUGUAGAGUUAAUUCCUGAUGAGAAAUCCCUAACUAACAUGAAGAAAAAGAGUACUGAGACUUUCAGAGAGUAUGCGAUUAGAUAGCAUGAACAAGCUGCUAGGGUGAAACCGUCAAUGAAAAAAAGUAAGAUAGUGGAGGUAUUUAUUCAAGCGCAAGAUGAAAUAUAUUAUCAAUAAUUGUUACCUACAUUAGGCAAGCCGUUCAUUGAGGUCCUUAAAAUGGGAAAGAUGAUAGAAGAGGGAAUUAAGACUGGUUGCAUUGUGAUUUUUGCAACAUUGAAAGCGACUACUUAAGUAAUUCAAAAGGGUUCAGGAAGUGUUGGGGAGAAAAAGAAUGAGGAAGAUAAACCUGCUAUUGUAGUUGGACAGCAGGAAAUGUCAAGGUGACUACGUCGUCGUCGCUCUCAGGUUCAAACCCAAGUUCAUGCCCAACCUCCACAUAAUCACUCCCAAAAUCGAUUAUACUCUGCUUCUCCACCAGCAUAUCCAGUAUAUAACGCACAACAAUAUUUUCAACCCCUAUCUUACCCAUAAUGGAACACACCAACUCCUCAGAGUCAUCAUCUAACUCCACAAACAUACCAAAAACCUUCUAAACCUGAUUUUUGAUCCAAGCCAAAUGAUGAAAUGAGACAGAAGUCAAGAGAUAGCUUCACACCAAUUGGAGAGUCAUAUGCCAGUUUAUUUCAGAGAUUGGUACAGGAGGGCAUGAUCACUCCUCUCCUUGGGCACACCCUUAAUUGGUGUUCAAGAAAUUUUGAUCCUAAUACACGAUGUGCGUAUCAUUCUGUUGCUCAGGGUCAUAGUAUUGAAGAUUGUUGACCUUUGAAAAGAGAAAUUGAAAAUAUGAUUCAAUAUGGAUCAGUUAUGGUACAGAACAUUGACAGUAAGGGAAACUCUAGUCAUGCAGAUAUGCAAACCAGUAGCUCAGUUGUCAGGCUGAGCAAUUGAGAUGUCACCCCUCUCCUUACUAGAAAGAGGUCUGGUAGUUUGUUUUAUUUUAUUUUCUGUUAUCCAAACUAUUACAGGGUUGUAGUUUGGGAUCUAUCUUGUUUUGUCCCUUUGUCAUUAUGUUCAAACCCUUCUAUCUUUUAUUUUAAUUAAAUGGAGUGUCCCUUUUUCCUUUGUGUUUUAAAAGUGUUUUUGUUUGUUUUCUUUACAUAGUACAUUUUAUGUUGAUUCUAGUGAUAUGACAUGCUAGCGAAAUUUUUAGCUAGAUUUUAAAAUCCAGUUUAAGCAUGAGCAUGGAAUCAGAGGGUUAAAGUUAGAAAAAGCAUCUGAGAAAAUAGGUAGAGUGUUGAGACAUUUGGUGACCAAGUUGAAGUCUUCUUUAAAAAUUAAGGCAAUUAUUUUGAGAUUACAAGUCUAACUUGGUCAUCAAUUGAAAUACAUGUCUCGAUUAGGUCAAACAGUGGCUGCGUGAUCCUAUAUCAAGACGAAUCGAAAGACAAUCAGCUCCACGAAAUCAUGAGUCCUUCAGCAUGAGGAAUGUACAACGAAAAUGGAGUUGUAUGUUUGACAAGUGUAGAAAAAGAAGUGACAUACAUGCUCAGUUGAAGUUAGUGUUGUUAAAGUGCCACAAAUGAUCUUCAUCUUUCAUUUUCAUAUUGCAUGAUAUGUACUUGCAUUUUUAAGGAUUGAUAUGACGAAGGCAUUUCAUUAUACUAUCCAAACAUCGUGCCAUCCUUUGUUUACCCCAUUUGAGCUUUAGUCCUAUUUUCUUUCAUACCCCUCUUUUGGAAUCAAGAUAGAGUCAACAAAGCUCAAAAUAAAAGUAUCGAGCAAAACAGUAAAGUCAGAAAAGUUUCAAAAAAAAAGAAGAAAAAAAAAAGAAAACAUGUCCAAAAAAAAGUACAGAGGAGUGUCGAGAAAAAUAAAGUCAGAAAGUUUCAAAGAGAAAAAAAGUCAAUAAAAGAGCAAAGAAAAAAAAUUAGAAUCAAGCAAAAGAACAAGUUGCCAGAAUUACGCGUGACUUGAUUCUCCUCUUGCGGGGGUGAGAUGUGUAGGCUGCCCUACUCUGGACUCGGUCCAACGAAAUAAAAUUUAGAAUUUCCCAGUCAAAAGAAACUGGGGCAUAAGCUAAUCCUCAUUGUUUGAGUCGAUUCCAAAAGUUGUAAGUCCUACCCCACUUCAAGUGUCGUUUGGGCCCCAUGCUAUCCUUUCUUUCCAACCCUAUCCAAAAGCUAAGUUACAAGCAAAGAAAGACCUUCAGAUCAAUCUUUAAGGAUGUUAACUAUAAUCAUAUAAGGGAUAUGAUGAUGUAUUUGGGAACUACUUGUCUUCCUCAGCAUAAGAAAGCAAAAGAGAAAUAAAAAUGAGAGUCUUAUUGGUGAAAACCCUCACGGGCACCGUAAGAUGAUGGUAAGUUGAGAGAGAUAAAAAAUGAGAGAGUCUUAUCGGUGAAAACUCUUAUGAUCACCGUAAGACAACUAUGAAUUGACAGAAACGAAGAUAAAAGAGUCUCAUUAGUGAAAAACCCUCACGGACGCCAUAGAAAGAUGGUGAGCUGAGAGAAAAAAAAAAUGAAUGAGGCUUAUUGUCAAAAACCCUUCAAGGCGUCACAAGCUGAAUGAGGUCUCCGAAUGCACUGGGCCCAAGGAAGUAACUCGGUUUCAAGGCUAUUAACUCAACAACAAUUGGUAGAAGUUUGGAUGGAAAGAUCAGGCAGCUUAAUCCAAAAUGCAUGACAUAAUCAUUAGAGGUGACUGUCAUUUCUAGAUAAAUUUUCAUUUCUUUGUUUCAAAUGGGGACAGUCAUUGUAUUUUCUUUUCUUGAGUCAGUUAACCAAAUAAAAAAAUCAUUGCUAUUUUUUCUCUUGUCUUUGAGUCAAGUCCGUAUAAAAAACAAGUGAGAAAAGAUUUCAAAACUGGCUACCAGCUUCUUUAAUUGCACAAAACAAAACAAUAUCCAGCACAUGAAAGAGACAUGAUUAUGAGCCGAAAAAGGACAUGCAGAAAGUUUUGUCAAUAGACAAGUCUGGGAACCCAUGGAAAUACCAAGGCGCAAAGGGUUUAUCUGAGAAACAUGGCAAAGAAGAAAUACUGUGUUUAUUUUAGAGUAACUCUUAAUAACCUGAGUUUGGGUCAAUGAUGCAUGCAAACGGUUGGAAGCAAGGUUAAAUGUGAUGACGGAAAGAGCGUUUGCCGUGAAAGCCAAAGCCACAAACCAGCCACCAUGUUUUUAAACUGACAACCUUUCUUUGCAUGAAACAGGAGCACAUGUUACCGUCAAAUCAAAGAUUUCAAAGCCUAAACAUCAAGGCCCAUAAUUUCUCACUUUUACAAAUGCAGGAAGCAAUGUUACUGCACAGGUUUGAUAGUUAAAUCAUGGUAAAAAUUCAUCAUUUUAUAUCCCUCGGAGACACACUUUCUUAUCCAGGGAUUACAGUUUUCAUUUGUUGGGUGUACACUUCUUAAAUUGAACCUUCACUCCUAGAAGAUGUACCUUUUAGUUGAGUCAUUCCCUUUAACCCCUAGAAGAUGUACCAUUUAGCCGAUUCAUUCCCUUUAAUUCCUAUAAGACGUACCUUUUAAUCGAGUCAUUCCCUUUGAUUCCUAUAAGACGUACCUUUUAGUCGAGUCAUUUCCCUUAAUUCCUAGUAAGACGUACCUUUUAGUCGAGUCAUCACCUUUGAUUCCUAUAAGACGUACCUUUUAGUCGAGUCAUCUCCCUUGAUUCCUAGUAAUAUGUACCUUUUAGUCAAGUCAUCUCUUUUGAUUCCUAUAAGACGUAACUUUUAGUCGAGUCAUUCCCUUUGAUUCCUAUAAGACGUACCUUUUAGUCAAGUCAUUCUCUUUGACCCCUAGAAGACGUAUCUUUUAGUUGAGUCAUUCCCUUUGAUUCCUAUAAGACGUACCUUUAGUCGAUUCAUCUCCCUUUGAUUCCUAUAAGACAUACCUUUUAGUCGAUUCAUUCCCCUUGACCCCUAGAAGACGUACCUUUUAGUCGAUUCAUCCCCCUUGAUUCCUAUAAGGCAUACCUUUUAGUCGAGUUAUUUCCCUAGAUUCCUAUAAGACAUACCUUUUAGUCCAGUAAUAUCCCUUUGAUUCCUAUAAGACGUACCUUUUAGUCGAUUCAUUCCCCUUGACCCUUAGAAGACGUACCUUUUAGUCUAGUCAUCCCCUUUAAUUCCUAUAAGGCAUACCUUUUAGUCGAGUCAUUUCUCUGGAUUCCGAUAAGACAUACCUUUUAGUCGAGUCAUCUACCUUUGAUUCCUGUAAGACUUACCUUUUAGUUGAGUCAUUGCCCUUGACCCCUAGAAGACGUACCUUUUAGUCGAGUCAUUUCCUUUGAUUCCUAUAAGACGUACCUUUUAGUCAAGUCAUUCUUCUUGAUUUCUAGAAAAUGCACUUUCUAGUCGAGUCAUUGCACUUAAUCCUUAUGAGACUCACUUCCUUAUUAGUUAUCAUUUGUCAGGUGACACACUUUUUAAUUUAAACUUCUAUCUCUAGAAGACGCACUUUCUAGUCAGAAUUACUCUCAAGAGAUGCAUUUCUUGGUCUGAGUUUUGAUUCAUUAUAGCAACAUGCAAGUAGGUAUGAUCUAACUUUCUCAAAAAUCUUCUGAUGGUAAACCACUACCAGAAAUUCGCUAUUUUUCGACUAAAAAUGUCCGACUGAAAAAAGUAGUCGAAAAUUUCCAACUACUUCAGUCGAAAAUAUUAUUUUUUUAUUUUUAUUUUUUCAAAAUAUUUUUUCAAUAAUUUUUGUGAAAAAAAUAGUUGGAAUCUUUGGUGAAAAAUUCUAGGAAAUAUAAAUUCCGACUACAGCAGUCAGAAAUAGUAAUAAAUUAAUUAAUUAAUAAUUAAUUUAAUAUACAUCCGACUACUGUAGGCAGAAAUAUUAAAUAAAUAUAAUUCUAAAUAUCUAAUCAGUCCCUUAUAUGAAAAUUAAAUAAUUAUUUAAAUAAAUUAUUAAAUUUAUAUUUACGACUACUGCAGUCGAAAAUACUAAUAACUAAAUAAAAU